CCACUAAGCUAACCCUAAAACCUAAAACAUAUAAUACUUAAAACAUCCAUCAGCACACUACUAGAAAUGAACCUAGAAUUCCUACCCCCAAAAAAGGGACCCCGCCGUUUUCUUCAUUCCGGAAACACCCUCGAAGACCCUUGAUCUUCAGCUUCUUCUCCGCACGCUUCCCUUACAAAAAUGUCCCCAUCUCCACCCAGAAUUCAACAGCCUAAUGCCACUAACUCCACUCCUCCAUAGCCCCGCCCCAUCUCUACUAGAACUCCUCCAAUCUACUCCAGCCGCUACUACUCACUGAUCACACACAUACACACCAACAUAAUCAAAAACAGAGUGAGAGGGGGACAACCUGGUUGUUAAUCCAAAAAAAUAGAGAAGUUUUGGUUUAUUGUCUUCAGUGUCAAUUUCGAUUUUCAAUUUCAAAUUCAUAAAGUCCAUUUUGAAGUCCGUUCGGUGAGUUAUUUGGGGUUGAGAGCCGGAGACGUUCGAGGUCGUCGAGUCCCUAUUCCGUUUGUGGUUAUUUUCCGGUUCAUUUUUUAUUCCUUACUUUGUUUUGGUAUGACUGAAUGUAUAAUAAGAGUAAUAGAGGUUGAAUCCGGGGAACUAAUUUUUUUUUUUUUUGUGUAAGAGAUUUGGUCUAGUUUCCAUGUAAUGCUCUAUUCUGUCGAAAUAUGUUUUCUUCUUCAUAUUGUUAUGGUGAUGUUCUAUGUAUUAUUAAAGUUUAAGGCUAAAUGGCCAAAAUCAGUUGAACCGCCUAUGAAAUUAUCUAUGACGAAAAACCUGAAAUUCCCUUAUGUCUGGAGUGCAAUUACAUUUGUCUUUAUUCGGU
rnacentral:lncRNA from 1 species